GGGAAGUGCAUGCAGCUCGUGCUCUGCUGACCUGUGUCUCGGUGACCCAAGGUUUCCAGCUUGCACAAGAAAUGCCUGGGGCUUGAUUGCAAAAGGCAUUUCAUUUCUAACAGGCAGGUGAAUUUGGUGUUUAACCUCCAGUGAGAUCUAACUAGCCAGCCUAAAUACUUUUACAUCCCUCGCUUGGUGCCUAUCUAUAUCUUUAGGUAGAGAGAUACGGGGGGAAAUGUGGCUUUUAAUAGCUUGUGAGUCAGAGUGAGGCAUGUCUGCACUGAGGGCGAGCAGCUGAACUGUUGCAGGGUGUGGACAGACCCAGGGACUGCUGAAGGCUCCCACGCCAUGAACCAUCCAGCCAGGACCUGGCAGGGCUCAGCCUGGGCUAAUCUGCUCUCCAGCUGGUUUUUGAGUCAUGAGCUGGUUGCAAUUAUUUUGCCUCUGUAAUUCCAUCUUCCUUGCGCUCUUCCUGGCUUCAGAGCCACUGGAGGAUGGUCACCUGUGUGGAGCUGUGCAUGAAAAUCGGAUCCCAGCUGCAGGCAAGGGAACACUGGAAGAAGACUGCAAGGAGUAGUCGUAUCACAGCUGCAGUUGUGGUUAUUAUUCAUCAUCUUGCUACAUACAGCACUCAGCUUGUGCUGAGCAGGGAGAGCUGUGAUCCCCGUUAUUAUCAAUACCCAGUGCUGUACCAGUGCCUCAGCAAAGGUGGGGUGCAGCCUGGUCCUGACACUUCUUUGCAACUGCCUCCGGAGCCAGUCCCGCUUUGUACUGCUGUGCGUCCUUAGAAAAUAGGCUGCCAGGUGCUGAACACCCACAGUUUGGAGUGAUCACUCAUGGUCAUGAAUAAUUAAGGAAGGAGAUUACCUUAACUGGAAUGUAUGUGGCUGUUCCAUCAGUGAAGUUGGGGAUCACUCUGAGGAGCGGACAGGUUUCCCGUUGGAGGUUUAGAAACCUGAGACUGUAAAGCUCUCCUUGCUUUCCCCACCUCUUACAGGAAGCCUGCAGCAGCUUACAGAAACUUCUGCUCCUGACCAUUCCAUCCUGCUCCGGACUGGAUGCAAAAUCUUCUGGUUGGAUGUUUUCAUUUUUGUUUUUUAAUGACUUCCUCCCAGGAGCUCUACUUGCUAUUGCAUUAUUAUUUUUAUUAUUGGCUGGAAGCACGUUUGUUUUACCUUUAUUUUUAUUAAAAUCGAUUAAAGUAUUUAAUAGCCUUAUUAAAGUCCAGUAGGGCCUCCCUCUACUUGGUGUGGAGUCCAGCUGGCCGCAGCACUGAGGUGCCCCAAAGUUAAGCCCCUAGCACUGCUUUUUCUUGCCCUGCUUGGCUUAAGAGUUGCUUGCUGAAGCAGGGCCGUGGCACAUCUCAACUCUCCCAUGAAUAAUUUCACCAGAUGCCACGAGAAUUAAGGGAGCUGGGGGGAUGAAACAUCCCCAUAACUUUCCUGAGAGAUAGGUCACUAAAGUGAGGGUAUGGGAAUGCACACCCCUUGGGGCAGAGUCCAGAACCCAUCACAGUACCCCCCUCUCUGGUGGAGCCAGCAUCCCUUCCAGUGACCAAACCCAAGGAUGGACAGUGGAGACGUUGCGUGCCAACUGUCCCUUCUCAGCCACUGUGUUGGAGCUGGCACAUAUCUCGUUGAGCUAGCAACACGAUUUCCCAUUUGUGGCAGCUGGAAGAGUCAUGAAAGUCAAGGAGAAAGCUUCAGAGAAUGUUGCUUUCAACAGCUGGCGUAUCAAGAAAAAAACAUCUGAUUGCACACAGACAUAGUAGUAGGUGCUUUGUAUGUGUCUUUCUUCUUUCCUCUUAAACAUGCUUCCCAAAUUUCACCUGCAUGGGGGAACCAAGGAGGAAGGUCAUGAUGACUUGGGUCCUAAGCAGGUCUUUUGCAUCCUGGUUGCUGCUGCAUUAGGUGCCCAUGCUCCUUUGGGAAGGUGGACAUCAAUCCUUGUUGUCCACCCACCCCUUGCCAGAUUUCUUCCUGUCCUCCUAGGUUCCAGACAGGCUUUGAGUACUGCAGUGGAAAUAAGGUACAAGAACCGGUGUUGGCAGCACUGAGCCUCUUGCAUGCUCCUCUUCAAGCACUCGUAUGUCUCCACUCCAAACUCCGGAUCACCUUCUAAAUUCAUAACUGAGAUGAGCAUUCGACUCUGCAUUAAGUUGAAGCUGUCCCUUGGGUCUCAUAGGUGGUGAUAGGAACAUCGCAGUUCCUGAGUUUAUAUUCUCAUAAAUCUUGAAGAAGGGAUGGCAACACAGUGACAGCAAAUAGGACUACAGAUCAUUUGCAACUCCUCUCCUCUGUACGAGGAGGUUGGCACCAACAUGGUGAUAGCAACAUGGCAUCCAGCGAGGACCCACGACCUCCUCUCUGCUAAAUCCAUACGCCCCUUGGGAUUUUUGCUUUGGAGAGAAAAUAUUUCAGGCUGACAGUGUCCAACGUCAGCCAACCAAAGGCUCAGGUGAGGAACCACCAAGGCUGAAAGCUAUGAAUUAUUGAGUGGCACUUUGUUCGUGCUGCUCUACUCUGCACCUCAUGUGGGUGGGUGUAGAGAGAGAUACAUUUGACUGCGGGCCCAUUUAGAAUUAGUUUUCAUGGUUUUACGUUCUUCCUUUGCAUUAAAGCGUUACAACACUCCAGCUGACCACUAAAGCCUAAAACCACCCAUAUGAAAAUAUACAUUAUAUGAAGCAAAACCAAAAGAAACGAAACCCACAACUUGGAAAAAUUAAGUACUCCAGAGCGAAACACAGUAUAAAACAAUAGGAGCUACUCUGAAUCACACCAAACCAACAGAAUCAGCAUACCAAUAUCUGGUUUGCCAGCACGUACUUAACUCAGAUAAAAAUAAACUGUUCUUGGAAUGAACCCCUGCUUUGAUUUGUAUCUCGCAGUCCAAGUACACACAAGAAGGAUGUAAAAUCUGCUAAUAUAAAUAUCGCUGGUCUCAAGCUUUUAUCAGAUGUUUUGUACCAGGAAAGAAAAGGCUCUGUUUUCUG
ensembl:lncRNA